rnacentral:rRNA from 1 species
AACUCCUACGGGAGGCAGCAGUGGGGAAUAUCGCACAAUGGGCGCAAGCCUGAUGCAGCCAUGCCGCGUGUAUGAAGAAGGCCUUCGGGUUGUAAAGUACUUUCAGCGGGGAGGAAGGCGAUAAGGUUAAUAACCUUGUCGAUUGACGUUACCCGCAGAAGAAGCACCGGCUAACUCCGUGCCAGCAGCCGCGGUAAUACGGAGGGUGCAAGCGUUAAUCGGAAUUACUGGGCGUAAAGCGCACGCAGGCGGUCUGUCAAGUCGGAUGUGAAAUCCCCAGGCUCAACCUGGGAACUGCAUUCGAAACUGGCAGGCUAGAGUCUUGUAGAGGGGGGUAGAAUUCCAGGUGUAGCGGUGAAAUGCGUAGAGAUCUGGAGGAAUACCGGUGGCGAAGGCGGCCCCCUGGACAAAGACUGACGCUCAGGUGCGAAAGCGUGGGGAGCAAACAGGAUUAGAUACCCUAGUAGUCCCAUGA